AGUGAACGCUGGCGGUAGGCCUAACACAUGCAAGUCGAACGGCAGCACAGUAAGAGCUUGCUCUUACGGGUGGCGAGUGGCGGACGGGUGAGGAAUACAUCGGAAUCUACUUUUUCGUGGGGGAUAACGUAGGGAAACUUACGCUAAUACCGCAUACGACCUACGGGUGAAAGCAGGGGAUCUUCGGACCUUGCGCGAUUGAAUGAGCCGAUGUCGGAUUAGCUAGUUGGCGGGGUAAAGGCCCACCAAGGCGACGAUCCGUAGCUGGUCUGAGAGGAUGAUCAGCCACACUGGAACUGAGACACGGUCCAGACUCCUACGGGAGGCAGCAGUGGGGAAUCUUGGACAAUGGGCGAAAGCCUGAUCCAGCCAUACCGCGUGAGUGAAGAAGGCCUUCGGGUUGUAAAGCCCUUUUGUUGGGAAAGAAAAGCAGCAGGUUAAUACCCCGCUGUUCUGACGGUACCCAAAGAAUAAGCACCGGCUAACUUCGUG
rnacentral:rRNA from 1 species